rnacentral:rRNA from 1 species
GACGAACGCUGGCGGCGUGCCUAACACAUGCAAGUCGAACGGAACUGUUUUGAAAGAUUUCUUCGGAAUGAAUUUGAUUUAGUUUAGUGGCGGACGGGUGAGUAACGCGUGAGUAACCUGCCUUCAAGAGGGGAAUAACAUUCUGAAAAGAAUGCUGAUACCGCAUGACAUAUCGGAACCACAUGGUUUUGAUAUCAAAGAUUUUAUCGCUUGAAGAUGGACUCGCGUCCGAUUAGUUAGUUGGUGAGGUAACGGCUCACCAAGACCGCGAUCGGUAGCCGGACUGAGAGGUUGAACGGCCACAUUGGGACUGAGACACGGCCCAGACUCCUACGGGAGGCAGCAGUGGGGGAUAUUGCGCAAUGGGGGCAACCCUGACGCAGCAACGCCGCGUGAAGGAUGAAGGUUUUCGGAUUGUAAACUUCUUUUAUUAAGGACGAAAAAUGACGGUACUUAAUGAAUAAGCUCCGGCUAACUACGUG